rnacentral:rRNA from 1 species
GAUGAACGCUAGCUACAGGCUUAACACAUGCAAGUCGAGGGGAAACGACAUCGAAAGCUUGCUUUUGAUGGGCGUCGACCGGCGCACGGGUGAGUAACGCGUAUCCAACCUGCCCACCACUUGGGGAUAACCUUGCGAAAGUAAGACUAAUACCCAAUGAUAUCUCUAGAAGACAUCUGAAAGAGAUUAAAGAUUUAUCGGUGAUGGAUGGGGAUGCGCCUGAUUAGCUUGUUGGCGGGGUAACGGCCCACCAAGGCAACGAUCAGUAGGGGUUCUGAGAGGAAGGUCCCCCACAUUGGAACUGAGACACGGUCCAAACUCCUACGGGAGGCAGCAGUGAGGAAUAUUGGUCAAUGGACGAGAGUCUGAACCAGCCAAGUAGCGUGCAGGAAGACGGCCCUAUGGGUUGUAAACUGCUUUUAUAAGGGAAUAAAGUGAGUCUCGUGAGACUUUUUGCAUGUACCUUAUGAAUAAGGACCGGCUAAUUCCGUG